GGAGAAUGCACCCAUGAAG
rnacentral:misc_RNA from 1 species